GGCUCAGAACGAACGCUGGCUCCAUGCCUAACACAUGCAAGUCGAACGCCUGUAUCAAUACAGGAGUGGCGAGCGGCUGACGGGUGAGUAAUGCAUGGGAAUCUGCCCAGUAUCGGGGGACAACCCGGAGAAAUCCGGGCUAAUACCGCAUACGCCCUACGGGGGAAAGCGGGGGACCGAAAGGCCUCCCACUAUUGUAGGAACCCAUGUCCGAUUAGCUAGUUGGUGAGGUAACGGCUCACCAAGGCGACGAUCGGUAGCUGGUCUGAGAGGACGAUCAGCCGCACCGGAACUGAGACGCAGUCCGGACUCCUACGGGAGGCAUCAGUGGG
rnacentral:rRNA from 1 species